AUGCAAAGGAACUCUGGGGAUGUUGACAAAACCAGAAAAACAGAUGUCUCUGGUCGACAGGAGAUCAUUCUGAGCCGAGCGGAAGCUUGGGAAACUCAGGCCCCUCAGUGCACAUUUCCAAGCCGGAAUCUGGACAGUGUUAUUCCAGACAAUUCAAUCCCUGCCAGAAAGGGUCCCGCGUGUGUUCACCACCAGAACAUAAGUGCCUCCAGGCUGAAGCUUGUCUGGCUGGUUCGCUGCUGGGAGCUACAGUCUGGCAGACAACAGGUGCUCAGUGACUUGUGGUUGACAUCUGCUGUUAUUAUCUGCUUCACAGAGGUUGAGAGCUGGGAAGACAUGACAGCUGACAGCAUGGAGGGCCCGCAGUGGCACUGGGCAAGGGAAUGUUCCAUGGCAGACAUGCACAGACCACUCCUACAGUCUCCACACAGUAGGAGGAAUUUUAGCUACGGGCGCUGUUGGGGUUGGGAGAGGCUACCUGCUUGGCUUUCCGUUAGAAGAGGGAGCAACGCAGUGCAAACGCAGGGCCUUGAAUUUUGCGGAGAACCUGGAAAAACGGGCAUAUGGGACUGGAUAACAAAGAACGCAUCAGUCACACUUUAG
rnacentral:lncRNA from 1 species